rnacentral:lncRNA from 1 species
GGGAAUGGAAACCGUAACGAUGGCGGAAAUGGGGAUGGCAACAAUAACCGAAUUGGAAAUGAAGCCGGGCGAAACCAAGGAUGCUUCAAGUGUGGAAGCAACGAUCAUUUCAUGAGGGACUGCCCAAAGAAAGACAAUGCUCAGGCUCGGGCAUUUGUGAUUGGAGCAAAGAACGCACGCGAGGACCCUAACGUGGUCACCGGUAACUAAAGGUGGAUGUGCGCGUGGUCCUACGCAUGCUCGUGGAUGUCGCUUUGUUUAUCGUUAAAUAAAGUUGUAACUUUUAAGACAAUAUGCUAUCAUGUGUUGUAAACACUUGACUUAUGUUUUCGGUAAUGUAAUGUUUAAAGUUAUUU